GACGAACGCUGGCGGCGCGCCUAACACAUGCAAGUCGAACGGAGCUGAGAGAAGCUUGCUUUUCUUAGCUUAGUGGCGAACGGGUGAGUAACGCGUGAGUAACCUGCCCUGGAGUGGGGGACAACAGCGGGAAACGACUGCUAAUACCGCAUAAGCCCACGAUCCGGCAUCGGCUUGAGGGAAAAGGAUUUAUUCGCUUCAGGAUGGACUCGCGUCCAAUUAGCUAGUUGGUGAGGUAAGGGCCCACCAAGGCGACGAUGGGUAGCCGGACUGAGAGGUUGAACGCCCACCUUGGGACUGAGGCACGGCCCAGAAUCCUACGGGAGGCAGCAGUGGGGGAUAUUGCACAAUGGGGGAAACCCUGAUGCAGCGACGCCGCGUGGAGGAAGAAGGUUUUCAGAUUGUAAACUCCUGUCGUUAGGGACGAUAAUGACGGUACCUAACAAGAAAGCACCGGCUAACUACGUG
rnacentral:rRNA from 1 species